ACCUAAAAGAAAAGAAGAGAGAGAAACAGAAGACCCCAGCUUUGAAAAGACACCAACCAUGGCUGAUCUGAAGAAGGUCCUUCUGAUUGCUUUCCUCCUGACUCUCUCUUAUCAACAUAUAGCAGGUGGGUGAUGUCAGCCCAAUAUCGGAGCAAGCUGGGAGAAUCUGAAUGAAGCCGCUUCCAACCCAAGCAUUCUCUCUUCAUGGAUUCAUCCAGUCAGAUCUUCAUAAGAAUUCAAAGAAUGAAGACAUCCCUAAGUAAAGUUGUCGCCGAGGAAGGAAGACUUGAAGGAAAUAACUAGCCAGAAAAAGCCACCACAUCACCCCCAAUCUAGGCCUCCUAAGUUUCUAUCUGGAGCAAGGAACACAUGUGUACCCCACUUCUUUUGCUGCUGGAAGAAGGAAGGAAGGAAGGAAGGAAGGAAGGAAGGAAGGAAGGAAGGAAGGAAGGAGUGAGUGAGCUGUGGAAUAUGGUGACAACUUGUUUCCUUGGAUGAAAUGCAUCAGCAGAGGAAGCCUGUGGGCCUACGCCUGGAGGAAAACGGCAGACACUUAUAUUGCAGCUUUCACUGACAAAAUACAUCAGCAAGAUGUCUAGGAGAAGACAGGACCAGCCAAGCCUUUAAAAAAACUC